UACGUAGGGUGCAAGCGUUGUCCGGAAUUAUUGGGCGUAAAGGGCUCGUAGGCGGUCCAUUGCGUCGGGAGUGAAAAGCUGGGGCUCAACCCCAGUCCUGCUUCCGAUACGGGUGGACUAGAGGUAUGCAGGGGAGAACGGAAUUCCUGGUGUAGCGGUGAAAUGCGCAGAUAUCAGGAGGAACACCGGUGGCGAAGGCGGUUCUCUGGGCAUUACCUGACGCUGAGGAGCGAAAGCGUGGGGAGCAAACAGG
rnacentral:rRNA from 1 species